AACACGACUACAUUAGGAUACCCGCGUAGUCCCAGCCCUAAACGAUGCGCGUUAGGUGUAUCGGUGACCACGAGUCACCGAGGUGCCGAAGGGAAACCGUGAAACGUGCCGCCUGGGAAGUACGGUCGCAAGGCUGAGACUUAAAGGAAUUGGCGGGGGAGCACCACAACGGGUGGAGCCUGCGGUUUAAUUGGACUCAACGCCGGGAAGCUUACCGGAUAAGACAGCGGAAUGAUUGCCGGGCUGAAGACCCUGCAUGACCAGCUG
rnacentral:rRNA from 1 species